rnacentral:misc_RNA from 1 species
UCACUAGCUUACGCUCUGACCCGCGGGGGGGGGUUGCAUAAACCAAGCUACUUACACGUUAGAUGUCAAAGAAAAUGGCCUACCAUUAUUCACAACCUAUCACCCUACUUAUCUCCCUCUUAGUUCUUACCUUAUGCAACCCCUCUUCUGGAGCAGGUAUUGCCAUCUAUUGGGGCCAAAAUGGCAAUGAAGGCACCUUGGCUGAAACUUGUGCCUCGGGAAACUAUCAAUAUGUGAACGUAGCUUUCUUGUCUAAUUUUGGGAAUGGCCAAACUCCUGUGCUGAACCUAGCCGGUCAUUGUGUUCCUAGUUCUAAUGGUUGCACUGGUUUAAGCUCUGAUAUUCAAGCUUGCCAAGGUCAAGGCAUCAAAGUCCUAUUGUCCAUUGGAGGAGGUGGAGGCAGCUACUCACUUUCAUCGGCCGAUGAUGCAACCCAAGUUGCUAACUAUCUUUGGAAUAACUUCCUUGGUGGUACGUCCAAUUCACGACCACUAGGCGAUGCCAUUUUGGAUGGUAUUGAUUUUGAUAUUGAGGCAGGUUCAGGCCAAUUCUGGGACGAUCUUGCCAGGGCCCUUAAUGGGUUUAGCCAACAAAGGAAGGUGUACUUAUCGGCAGCUCCACAGUGUCCCUUCCCUGAUGCUCAUCUAAGCACUGCAAUUAACACUGGCCUAUUCGAUUACGUGUGGGUUCAAUUCUAUAACAACCCCCCGUGUCAAUAUAGCGGUGAUGCUAACAAUCUCUUGACUGCAUGGAAUAAUCAAUGGAGCACAGUUCAAGCAAACCAAGUGUUUUUGGGGCUACCUGCAGCGCCAGAGGCGGCCCCUAGUGGUGGAUUCAUCCCAGCAGAUGUGCUCAUUUCUCAGAUUCUUCCAUCUAUCAAGAGUUCCCAAAAGUAUGGAGGAGUCAUGCUCUGGAGCAAGUUCUAUGACAAUGGAUAUAGUUCAUCUAUAAAGAGCGCAGUGUGAUUAAGUUAUUAGCCAAUAAAACAUGGUCAUAUAUAUAUGACCUGCUUAAUUUAUAUUUAUAAUUUUAUGAAUUACAAUAAAUAUUAUAAAGCUGAAUAUGAAAUGGAUUAAAAUAAUAUUGCUAAGUGGUUUUUCUUUUCUGAAUUAUGAAAUUGAUAAAAAUAAUAAUGCUAAGUGCUUUUUCUUUUAAGUCAUUGAAUUGUUG